rnacentral:rRNA from 1 species
GACGAACGCUGGCGGCGUGCCUAAUACAUGCAAGUCGAACGCUUCUUUUUCCACCGGAGCUUGCUCCACCGGAAAAAGAGGAGUGGCGAACGGGUGAGUAACACGUGGGUAACCUGCCCAUCAGAAGGGGAUAACACUUGGAAACAGGUGCUAAUACCGUAUAACAAUCGAAACCGCAGGGGUUUGAUUUGAAAGGCGCUUUUGGGUGUCGCUGAUGGAUGGACCCGCGGUGCAUUAGCUAGUUGGUGAGGUAACGGCUCACCAAGGCGACGAUGCAUAGACGACCUGAGAGGGUGAUCGGCCACAUUGGGACUGAGACACGGCCCAAAUUCCUACGGGAGGCAGCAGUAGGGAAUCUUCGGCAAUGGACGAAAGUCUGACCGAGCAACGCCGCGUGAGUGAAGAAGGUUCUCGGAUCGUAAAACUCUGUUGUUAGAGAAGAACAAGGAUGAGAGUAACUGUUCAUCCCUUGACGGUAUCUAACCAGAAAGCCACGGCUAACUACGUGCCAGCCGCCGCCGUAA